rnacentral:rRNA from 1 species
CCUACGGGAGGCAGCAGUGGGGAAUAUUGGACAAUGGGGGCAACCCUGAUCCAGCCAUGCCGCGUGUGUGAAGAAGGCUUUCGGAUUGUAAAGCACUUUAAGUUGGGAGGAAGGGCUUUAGGCUAAUACCCUGAAGUUUUGACGUUACCGACAGAAUAAGCACCGGCUAACUCUGUGCCAGCAGCCGCGGUAAU